GGGCGUGUAACUCAGUGGUAGAGUGCUCGCUUUGCAAGCUCCAACGCUAAAAUGCGAGAAGUCCAGGGUUCGACUCCCUGCUCGUCCA